CGGCGUUGUUGUUGCAUUAUUGAAUAGACCCGCUCACCGGCAGUGUGCCUUUUAAUCCGGAAAAUACUUUACUGUUAUUUUUAUUUAAACUCCUACCUGUCAUUGCGUAACCUGUCAGUCUUCCGUAGUUUCCUGUAGCUCCUCCCUUUCCGGCUUGCGAUGUUCAGGAAGCAGAGUGGCACAAAGACUCAUGGCGAAGGAGUUUGUGAUUUUUACUUCAUUUUCAGAAUGCAACCUCCUGUAAAGAAGUCCAUUGUGUGAUGGCUGUCUGCAAACCCAUCACAAGUACAGACACAUUCAUUAUGUUAGUUUGCCCUCUGCUGGAGGCUUAAAAUACAAAGUGAUUAGUCAGAAUGUUCUUUGGCUACCCAAAUGCUGCACGCAGGUGUCCUUAAUUCAGCAAGGUUUUCGUUUACAGUUUUGUAGCAGUGUUUACCAGAGCCUCUCGUCCUUUUAGACCGACAAAAACUUGUCAUCCGGGGGCCUGAACGUGUGCAAGUCUGUUGGCUGUUGAGCUAUUUUACAGGAUUUGUUGCAAUCAUAAGCUGCUGCUGCUGCCUCUGCUUGAUGUGUUGCUGUGGAAAUGUUGUUCACAUUGAAAUGUUCCCCAAGUGGAUACAUUCCCCCCCAUCAUGUAAAUGUGCACUUGGUGGAAACUAGGCUGUGGAUGUGUGCGUUUACUGA